GAAUUUUAUAUAAAUUUAGUUUAAAACUUUAGUAUAAUAUUUAUUAUGUUUAUAUUUUAUUGGGAGGAUAGUUAAAUUAAGUAAACUUUGAAAAUAAAAAUCCAUUAAUUUAUGAAUUAAGGGUUAAAGGAUGAUAAAUGUUUUAAUUAGAAUUAAUUACCUUAGGGAUAACAGCGUUAUAUUUUUAAAGAGAUCUUAUUGAUAAAAAUGAUUGC
rnacentral:rRNA from 1 species